ACCUGGGUGGCUCAGUUGGUUAAGCAUCUGACUUCAGCUCAGGUCAUGAUCUCGUGGUCCGUGGGUUCGAGCCCUAUGUCAGGCU
rnacentral:tRNA from 1 species